AAAAGAAUCCAGAGAGACGAAAGCAGACCCACAGUGAAGUCUGGGGUCUGGGAAACCUCCCUGAGGAGCAGAGAGGGUGAGAAAGAGAGACACCUGAGGGGAGGCAGCUGGCGGUCCCCCAAGGAAUCAGGGACUCAAAGGGAACUAGUGAUGAGGUGAGCGUGGUGCUGGGAGCCUGGAGCUGUGGUCCUUGCCCUCUCUGGUCUCCUCAGCAGAGAGCAGGGUCUGGAGUUUGAUAUCGGCUCAAUACAAGGUUAUAUAAGGGAAGCCGAAUUGUAGAAAAGAAACCAUAUUGUAACUUUGAAUGACCUCUGAUUAACUAACCCCGACAUGCUCUGUAGAUUUUAUGGCUCCUCCCAGCUGCGAUAAGAUGAUAACUUUGUUCUUUUGAGUUCCUUAGGAAUGUGAUGACCCCUGGGCAGAGAGCCCAUGCUGAUAGCCAUCAUCCACCAUCAAGGACAACUGAAAGAUCACGGUAUAGGGCGUUUCUCUGGUCUCUGAUGCACAGCCAGUAAAACAAAAGACUGUCAGGAACGGAGACCAGAUGUCUGCCCCCACCUGGAGGUCAGAUGGAGGCCCCACUGGGAUUAGGUCUAUUUUUCAGGAACUGUUAAAUCUUGGGUCAUCUGUACUUCUUAUCCUUUUGGUCUGAUACUUGAUUAUAAAAUGUGCCUUUAGAUGUUGUUCCAAAACUGUUGAGCAAGGUACAAAAGUUCUAAUAAUGCAAAAUGUCAACCUGAAGUUGGGAACAAGAGAAUAUGCCCAAAUGGGUGCUAAACAGUUUCAUUCCUCUAACCUGGAUCUAUGCCCUGAUUCAGCAGGAAGGAGAUAGAUGGGUCGUCACUCCAAAUCCCCCAAGAAUGAGGAAUGACAAAGGAAUAGGGGGAUUGAAACGGGCAAAGAGUUAGCCAUUGAUGAUUAGGUAACUAGGAGCUAAAAGUUUUUUUCUCCCUUUUGUAAGUACUAUGCUGUUCAGGCAAUAUGCUAUCUGACUCCCACUAGGCUCCUAUAGAUGACAUCUCCCUGGAGCCUGGGUCACCAUGGUAAUGAGUGUUUGAGCUGUUUUUCAGGAAUUAGAACUCCUUGUCCACUUCAGGCUGGUUCAGAUUACUAACCCGUCAACUGGGCCUGUGCAGAUGUCCAAUAAGCAACCUUUUGAUGUCAAGAGACUAAAAACUCUACCCUCAGAUCAUGCUAACACCACCAUUUUGCUCCCUUGCAGGUCAGACUCCUGUGAAGAGGAGUCUGACUACACUUGCGCAGAUCAAUUACCUCACCUCUCCUCACCUCCAAUCAUCUAUCUCCACAUUUCAGACCACCUUGCCCCCUACCCCAUAAAUAUCCCUGAGUCCUCAUUUGUGGGAAAGCAGAUUUGAGACUCAUUCCCUUGCUUCCUGACCUGGCUGCCUUGUGAUUAAACCCUCUCUCUGCUGCAAUCUUGUCAUCUGGGUGUUUGGCUUUCCGGGUGGUGGGCAAAAACAAACCUAGUUCUGAACAGCUUCACCUUUCCUGAGGGUCUGCCAUCCUGAGUGUGGAUGGCCUGGCUGGCCGGGUCCCUCUUCCAAGCAGGUAGUGUCAUGGAGCCUGACUCCAGGGCUCUCAGCAUGAGGAAAAUCACACUCUUUAUUUUUCUGAAUGAAGAGCCACCAUCCCCCUCCUCCCCACCCACCAAGCCAGUGGUCAGCCAAGCUCAGACAUUGCUGGACCUCCCCUCUCCAUGGAUAUGCUAGAACCAUCUGGGGCUCUGGGCAAGGCAAGGAAGAAAUUUGAACACCGGAUCUUCCUGAAUGAGGUACCCUUCACUUCUGGUCACAAUCUCUGCUUUUGUGCAUGCCUGGGCUGUGUGACUUUGCAGAUUUUCUGAAUGGCAAUUCUUAAUCACUCUGUUGAAAAGAGAUGAGGUCAGUUGAACUGG
rnacentral:lncRNA from 1 species